AACGAACGCUGGCGGCAUGCCUAACACAUGCAAGUCGAACGAGACCUUCGGGUCUAGUGGCGCACGGGUGCGUAACGCGUGGGAACCUGCCCUUAGGUUCGGAAUAACUCCCCGAAAGGGGUGCUAAUACCGGAUAAUGUCUUCGGACCAAAGAUUUAUCGCCUUUGGAUGGGCCCGCGUUGGAUUAGCUAGUUGGUAGGGUAAAAGCCUACCAAGGCGACGAUCCAUAGCUGGUCUGAGAGGAUGAGCAGCCACACUGGGAGUGAGACACGGCCCAGACUCCUACGGGAGGCAGCAGUAGGGAAUAGUAGACAAUGGGCGAGAGCCUGAUCCAGCAAUGCCGCGUGAGUGAUGAAGGCCUUAGGGUUGUAAAGCUCUUUUACCCGGGAUGAUAAUGACAGUACCGGGAGAAUAAGCUCCGGCUAACUCCGUGC
rnacentral:rRNA from 1 species